rnacentral:rRNA from 1 species
UACGGAGGAUGCAAGCGUUAUCCGGAAUGAUUGGGCGUAAAGCGUCCGCAGGUGGCUGUGUAAGUCUGCUGUCAAAGAGCGAAGCUCAACUUCGUAAAGGCAGUGGAAACUACACGGCUAGAGUGCGUUCGGGGCAGAGGGAAUUCCUGGUGUAGCGGUGAAAUGCGUAGAGAUCAGGAGGAACACCCGGGGCGAAGGCGGCCCUCUGGCUCGACCCUGACGCUGAGGCGCGAAAGCGUGGGGAGCGAACGGG